rnacentral:rRNA from 1 species
AAAGGAAUAGACGGGGGCCCGCACAAGCAGUGGAGCAUGUGGUUUAAUUCGAAGCAACGCGAAGAACCUUACCAAGGCUUGACAUCCCAUUGACCGGUAUAGAGAUAUACCUUUUCUUCGGAACAAUGGUGACAGGUGGUGCAUGGUUGUCGUCAGCUCGUGUCGUGAGAUGUUGGGUUAAGUCCCGCAACGAGCGCAACCCUUGAUCUUAGUUGCCAUCAUUAAGUUGGGCACUCUAAGGUGACUGCCGGUGACAAACCGGAGGAAGGUGGGGAUGACGUCAAAUCAUCAUGCCCCUUAUGUCUUGGGCUACACACGUGCUACAAUGGCUGGUACAGAGGGUAGCGAAGCCGUGAGGUGGAGCCAAUCCCAAAAAGCCAGUCUCAGUUCGGAUUGUAGGCUGCAACUCGCCUACAUGAAGCAGGAAUUGCUAGUAAUCGCGGAUCAGCAUGCCGCGGUGAAUACGUUCCCGGGCCUUGUACACACCGCCCGU